GUGUCAGCAGCCGCGGUAAUACGGGGGGGGCAAGCGUUGUUCGGAAUUACUGGGCGUAAAGGGCGCGUAGGCGGUUUGCUAAGUUGAAUGUGAAAACUCUGGGCUUAACCCAGAGCCUGCAUUCAAUACUGGCAGGCUAGAGUUCUGGAGGGGAUAGCGGAAUUCCUGGUGUAGCGGUGAAAUGCGUAGAUAUCAGGAGGAACACCGGUGGCGAAGGCGGCUAUCUGGACAGAGUCUGACGCUGAGGCGCGAAAGCUAGGGGAGCAAACAGGAUUAGAUACCCUGGUAGUCC
rnacentral:rRNA from 1 species